UUUGAUAGUUCCUACAAUUUCUAUCCGCCCGGGUACUACGAGCACUAGCUUAAAACCCAAAGGACUUGGCGGUGCUUUAGAUCCACCUAGAGGAGCCUGUUCUAGAACCGAUAACCCCCGUUAAACCUCACCCUCUCUUGUUAUUUCCGCCUAUAUACCGCCGUCGUCAGCCUACCCUAUGAAGGAAUCACAGUAAGCAAGGCCAGCAUAGCUCAAAACGCCAGGUCGAGGUGUAGCAUAUGAGAGGGGAAGAAAUGGGCUACAUUCUCUGUGACAGAGAAUACGGAUAAUGCAAUGAAAUGUGCAUUARAAGGAGGAUUUAGUAGUAAGCAGAAAAAUAGAGCG
rnacentral:rRNA from 1 species